UACGUAGGUGGCAAGCGUUGUCCGGAUUUACUGGGCGUAAAGCGUGCGUCGUCGGCUUUUUAAGUCGGGUGUGAAAUCCCCGGGCUCAACCUGGGAAUUGCAUUCGAUACUGGAUCGCUAGAGUUCGGCAGAGGGAAGCGGAAUUUCGGGUGUAGCGGUGAAAUGCGUAGAUACCCGAAGGAACAUCAGUGGCGAAAGCGGCUUCCUGGACCAGAACUGACGAUCAGGCACGAAAGCGUGGGGAGCAAACAGG
rnacentral:rRNA from 1 species